rnacentral:lncRNA from 1 species
UACCCCUUACCACAGUAACGCCAAACUCACGCUCUAAACGCAGGCACCAGUGUGAACUCAGACUCCACGGCCAGCAUCGUAACUGGAGACCACAUGGGCAAUGCUGUGAACUCAGACCCCACAGCCCACACCAUAACUGGAGACCACACGGGCACCAGUGUGAACUCAGACCCAACAGCACCUGCCUGGGCUGCUCCAGCCACCAGCAGAACCUGUUGUGCAGCUGAACUGGAAGCUGAUUCUGGAAAGAACUGAGAAGCAUGAGGACGAGAUCCUUCUACCUCAACAGGGAUCAAUUUUUUAACGAUUUCUUUCUUUUAGAAAACUGUUAAUAAAAUACUUUGUUCUAAAAUGACCAGGAUUUCAGCAGCCUCUACAUUCCUUCAUGUCAAUCAAAGCUUAGGCACGUGGGUUACUUCACUGUUCAUGACACCUUUUUCAAAUAAACCCCGGGGCCGCCUGUGUACCCAAGAGCCUGGGCACUGAGCAUUCAGAGAAAACGUUCAGGGCGAGAGUGUUCACGUCCCAGCGGUGCAGUAGAGUGCAUCGUGGGGUUUAAGCCACAAGUGGCCACACCUCCCCUGCCUCUGGCCAGUGCCCACUGCUCACACACACACUCCUUCCUCGGCCCAUCCUGAGCCACGGGGCCCUCGCGUAACCAAGGUCACUGCAGCACCUCCAGGAACAAACUGGUUACAGGUGGACUGCUCUCUACGCAAGGUACGCUAGAUUAAGAAAACUGACUAAAAACAGUAGGAAGAAAAACUCACUCCACCCAUUGAGGCAAGAGAAAUGCACACAGCCUCUGAAAUCACUGCAGAGGAGUUUUCCUGGGUUAGGUACGGUGGGUGACCCUACCCCAUAGUGGGGCAAUAGCACAUGGUGGGAACCAAGGAACAUCUUCGAAUAAAUGUAGGAAAAUGCACUCAACUCCCAAACAGAGAGAGAAACUGCUUUUUUCCUUAAAAGCUUCUGUCUUUUAUUCUCAGAAAGACUCUCUUUGGUGUCUUGACUGCUGACAGGACAAGCCUGUCAUCCCCAGAAAGCCGCCCUGGACAGUCUCCAGAUCCUACAGCCCUCAGGUCCACCUUGCCUACUGAUGAUCCCACAUUACAAAACCUAAUCAUCAGAAAAAGCUUCCCAGUCCGCAGCUCACAAGUGACAUUUUAUUCAGGGAAACGCUAAUAAAAACCUGGGGCUCUAUGUAAACGCUGUCCCCUAGGUACUGAGGCUCCACACAGAUGGCACACAGGGAGACAGGCCUCACCCCUUCCUGGCGCCCCAUGUCUCUCCUCACAUUUUAUUAGCUGAGUUUUGUGGCGGUUUGUUACUUUUAACCUGCCUGUCCAAGGCAGCUGCACUAAACUACUUGUCCAGGGCAGAUCCACUCAUAAUGACCAUCAGCUCAGAGUUGGAAGUAGCACUGGAGAAUGAGGUGGUUUCAGGGCACUAUGCUUCCCUGCCCUCUUUUCCAGGGGUGCCAAGUAAGUUUCUGCCGUGGCUGAUGAUGUCAAUACUACACUAACAUUAGUUCAACGGCAGGCCACCAAUUAAUACUUAAUGAACAAUCUCCUUAAAAGCGAAACCCCAUCUCUACCAAAAACACAAAAAAGUAGCUGGGCAUAGUGGUGAGCGCCUAUAAUCUCAGCUACUGGGGGACUGAGGCAGGAGAAUUGUUUGAACCCAGGAGGCAGAGAUUGCAGUGAGCUGAGAUUGCACCAUUGCACUCCAGCCUGGGCAACAAGAGUGAGACUCCAUCAAAAAAAAAAAAA